rnacentral:misc_RNA from 1 species
UCCGGCUUAUCACCGGCGGUUUCUUCAGAGUGCCCAGCAUAACCUGGUAGCAACUGAAGAUGGGGGUUGCGCUCGUUGCGGGACUUAACCCAACAUCUCACGACACGAGCUGACGACAGCCAUGCAGCACCUGUGUGGAAGCCAACUAAAUGAAGGAUUCCGUUUCCGGAUUCCAAACUUCCCAUGUCAAGGCCUGGUAAGGUUCUUCGCGUAGCGUCGAAUUAAACCACAUACUCCACCGCUUGUGCGGGCCCCCGUCAAUUUCUUUGAGUUUCAACCUUGCGGCCGUACUCCCCAGGCGGUGUGCUUAAUGCGUUAGCGGCGACACAAAGGGGCUAAGCCCCCUCACGUCUAGCACACAUCGUUUACAGCGUGGACUAC